UACAGAGGGUGCAAGCGUUAAUCGGAAUUACUGGGCGUAAAGGGCGCGUAGGCGGUUCGUCACGUCGGCUGUGAAAUCCCGAGGCUCAACCUCGGGUCUGCAGUCGAUACGGGCGGACUUGAGUACUGCAGGGGAGACUGGAAUUCCUGGUGUAGCGGUGAAAUGCGCAGAUAUCAGGAGGAACACCGGUGGCGAAGGCGGGUCUCUGGGCAGUAACUGACGCUGAGGAGCGAAAAGCGUGGGGAGCGAACAGG
rnacentral:rRNA from 1 species